rnacentral:lncRNA from 1 species
CUCUUACCCCAGCCGUGUAAUUUGCACAUCGUUUUAUAUUUUCUGUUGGGAAAUCACAAAGCAUCUAAAAGGCAAGCAGUGGUUCUCAAGCUGCAGCCAAAGAAACACCAGAGGCUUUCACACAAUCCCUUUUUCCUGAAGCCAACUCUACUGAGGAUGUGAUGUGGAUAAGGAUGUCCGGGAAGCUGGUGUUGGUGGCGGGCUGUGUUCUCAGGCCCAGGGACGCUGUGGCAGGGGCUGGAUGGGAAUGCAGCAGGGCCGUGUAUUAGCUGUGCAGCCUUGGGAAAAGUACUUCAUUGUUCUGAGCCUCAUUUUCUUAUUUGUCUGUUCUGAUUGCCUUUCAGACACCAUAGAGAUUAUUUUUCAGCUUGCUCCUCUGUGAGGAUCAACUCUAUUGAAGAAUCUAAAGUACCUGGCACAGGGUCCUGCACAUACACCUCAUUUAAAUGAUCAAGUACAUACUAAGCAGCUCAUGUUCAAUUCUGAAAACUGUCCUGGGCCUGGGCCAUGUGUUCGGAGUGUGGAGAAGAGGGAGCCAGUAGUCCCCUCCCCUGGUCAGGGCGCCUGGGUCUGCGCCAGAGAACAGAAGGGCCGGCAGCCAGGCCCCUGUCCCCAAGAGCUGGGGUGCACAUUAAAGCCUGUCAUGGCUCAGGAACUGGGCCCGCUGCGCCGGGCAUCUGGAUGUUCUUAGAUCUCUGUCUGGAUUCCUUCUGCUUGUCUUGUGGAAUUACUUAUCAGCAGCAGGCAGACCAGACCUUGGGCUUUCCUCCCCAUGGCCCAGCCCGAGGCCUUCCUAUCCGUAAACACUAGUGCAGGGGAUGGGGAAGUUGCUUCAGGACCUGUGGAUGAGGCUUCCCUGUGUGCUCCUCGGCCCCCUACGGCAGCUGCUGCUGUCUCUGUACAAAAGCAGGACCUCCAGCCUGUGCCCAGCUGCCCUCAGCAACCUGCAUCUUCAGAUGAGAGUUGUGUAGGAAUCAGAAGGGAAUUUCAAAAUUAUUUGAAAAGUGUGACUGUUGAGGGCUGUCACUUGUAUCUACUCCCUGGACCAUUUUCCCCCCACAAUACUCCUGUUAUCACCCCCUUCCCUCCAGGGUUGAUUCCACUUUCUUUGGUUAGACCCAUGAUGACAUCCCUUUGCGCUUGUGAAUCCGA